rnacentral:rRNA from 1 species
GUGACUGCGUACCUUUUGUAUAAUGGGUCAGCGACUUAUAUUCUGUAGCAAGGUUAACCGAAUAGGGGAGCCGGAGGGAAACCGAGUCUUAAUUGGGCGUUAAGUUGCAGGGUAUAGACCCGAAACCCGGUGAUCUAGCCAUGGGCAGGUUGAAGGUUGGGUAACACUAACUGGAGGACCGAACCGACUAAUGUUGAAAAAUUAGCGGAUGACCUGUGGCUGGGGGUGAAAGGCCAAUCAAACCGGGAGAUAGCUGGUUCUCCCCGAAAGCUAUUUAGGUAGCGCCUCGUGAAUUCAUCUCCGGGGGUAGAGCACUGUUUCGGCUAGGGGGCCAUCCCGGCUUACCAACCCGAUGCAAACUGCGAAUACCGGAGAAUGUUAUCACGGGAGACACACGGCGGGUGCUAACGUCCGUCGUGAAGAGGGAAACAACCCAGACCGCCAGCUAAGGUCCCAAAGUCAUGGUUAAGUGGGAAACGAUGUGGGAAGGCCCAGACAGCCAGGAUGUUGGCUUAGAAGCAGCCAUCAUUUAAAGAAAGCGUAAUAGCUCACUGGUCGAGUCGGCCUGCGCGGAAGAUGUAACGGGGCUAAACCAUGCACCGAAGCUGCGGCAGCGACACUCAGGUGUUGUUGGGUAGGGGAGCGUUCUGUAAGCCUGUGAAGGUGGCCUGUGAGGGUUGCUGGAGGUAUCAGAAGUGCGAAUGCUGACAUAAGUAACGAUAAAGCGGGUGAAAAGCCCGCUCGCCGGAAGACCAAGGGUUCCUGUCCAACGUUAAUCGGGGCAGGGUGAGUCGACCCCUAAGGCGAGGCCGAAAGGCGUAGUCGAUGGGAAACGGGUUAAUAUUCCCGUACUUGGUGUUACUGCGAAGGGGGGACGGAGAAGGCUAUGUUGGCCGGGCGACGGUUGUCCCGGUUUAAGCGUGUAGGUGUGUGUUCCAGGUAAAUCCGGAACACUGAGGCGUGAUGACGAGGCACUACGGUGCUGAAGCAACAAAUGCCCUGCUUCCAGGAAAAGCCUCUAAGCAUCAGGUAACAUCAAAUCGUACCCCAAACCGACACAGG